CUCAAGAGCCGGGUCACGGGUCGGUUAUCGGGUCGGUUUUUCCGGUGCUACACGAAAGAUCCGAAACGUGGUAGCUACCAGGUACGGAUCUCACAGCUGCAACAAUCUUCCUGCGCACAGUAUAUCUCUGGAAGAUUAUGAAGGACAAUUGCUUGAUCUCCUAUUAGGAUAGUCAUUGGCAGGGCUUGAUAUAUCGAUUACUCCUUCUGAUAGUCUUCUGCAAUUACUCAUCUUAUUGGAUGAAUUCUAGGUCUGAUGGCUUCGUUGAGUGGCUGUGUGAAUUCUUCUUCGGGAAGUUUCUCUCUGGCGUUGCGGCGGCGAGGUUUUCUUUGGGAUUCACCUGUUCUUCGCCUUCAUCUACCAGCCAACUACGAUGCUUUCUCCGACAUCGAUGACGACAGUGUUUUCGCCGUCAUUGUCUCACUCGCCAAACACUUUCUGUUGCAUUGUCAAGGAGUUGUGGGUUAUCUUGGUUUGAAUUUGUUUGUGAGGAGGAUCUACAAAAACAUCAAGUGUGACUAAGGCAACUGUUCAAGUCGAAACUAGAGCAAUUUCCUAUGAUGGUUACGAGAGACAAUAAAUUGUUGGAGGAAGCCUCUGGUCAUAUGUGGAGGACCAAACCAGCUUCUUUCAACAUCAAAAGGGAAUGCAUGCCAAAAGUGGAGCAUCCAGAAUCUUAUGCUGGUCCAUAAGUUGCAAAACAAUGUAAUGUAUAUCAGUGUGAUGCCUUUGUCCCAGUGAUUGACAAUUCAGUCUCUUGGAAGAAAGCAGUACAAAAUGAUGUAUUGUCAAGGUAUUUCAAGAAUAAUCAUUGUUCUUACUUCUGAAAUUUUUACUUGCAUCUUUAGAUAGGGAUGUAAACGCUUAUUUAGAAGCUAAUCUGAGCAGUCUAUGAAAGUAAGCUCAUAGUUGUACUCAUAGUUGCAUCCUUAUACUCAUUAGUUAUAUUUACUUUAGCUUUAUUUUAUGCUGAUACUUUAGUACCUAAGUUUCCUUGCAAAUUUUAUAAAGCUUUAACCACUAAUCAUCUCUUAAUUAUUUUUCUUCUUUCUAAAGGGUAAACACACAUUCAUAUGACAACAAAUUAAAUGAUAUGCAUUUUGUUUAAAUAGCUCACAUUGGGAGCAGGAGGUAUAACAGUAAAAGUGUUUCUGAUUUGCAUAUUUUUUUUGUUUCAUCUUAGAGAUUUAGAUUUUAGAUUGGUGAACCGUUGCACUAACACAUAGCUCAUUUUAUGGAGUGAUUACUCAAAGUUAUAUAAAUAUUCUUCAACUUAGUGUGAUUUCAAGGAUUCUCAGGGAUAUUUUACUCCCCUCUCGUCUAUGUUGCAGGAUUCUCAGGGAUAUUUUAGUGUUAUUUUUUGCGGGAUUUGAGUAAUGAUAUAGACUAUUCAGAUACACAGUUUUGGAUUUUUUAAAAGUUUUACAGGUUAACAUUCAGACAAAGUCUGAAGUACAUAUAUUUAUACCAGGUAGUUUGUACAUUCGAACAAACUGUACUUCGACAUGUUUGUGCUUGCCUUCUUACUUCAUUAUGUGGUUGAAGUUAGAAUUUCUUCUGCAAUAUAUAUUUAUGUACCUUUUCCUCCUCUUUUUCCUAUGCCUUCCAAACUUUAGAAUUGGAGUGAAGUUUCACUCCCAGACCUACACUAUGCGUCAAAGGUACAGCUGUAUCGUCGUAUUCGUGUCAUCCUUUUCAUAUCCAUUUUCCCUGGAAUUUGGGGUAAAGGUACACCUAGAAGCUUCAUCCUAACCAUCAAUCUGCUCUAGGAUCUAUACCCUCCAAUUGUUUGGUUCGAAAGCUUCAAGAUCUUGCUGGAUUCCCUAUGGAUUAUUUGCUUUCCCUGGUAUCUUCAUCCUUAGGCAGAUAUGUGCUUAUAAAUUGCCCCUUUGAUUGUGUGGUUUCUCAUCCUUUGUUCUUCAUUCAAUUCCAUUAGUAGUUUUCCUUUUUCCUGUUGUAUUGAGUUUCUCCUUGGGUUCUUCAUCCAGUUCCCUCUCCCAUUCUUCUUUUCUCUCUUUCAAAGAGACAAAAUGUAUCGUAUUACCUUAAUUUCUAUUUGUAUAUUUGGUCUGUUAUUUCAAGUCGGAGGUUCAAAUGCUUGGGAAGAGAAAUAAAUUGCAUUAGGUAUAACUCUAACUCAACUUGGGUUAAGAAAAAUACUUUAACACAUUGUCGCUCUUUUAGUGGGUGAUGUUCCAGUUUCUCAAUUAAGUCUCUUGCUGCUUUCAGAAAGUCAGUUACAAAUUGAAGGUGAGGGAAGUUUAAAUAGAAAAAAGGAGUAGUUUAAUUAAGUAGUGUUUUUGUAUCUUUAAUUGGACUUAUUUAUGCAUCUACUUUAUUGUGUUAUAUGGUAUGUUUUUGGAUUCUCAUAAGUAAGGAUCAUCUGAUGGUAAUGGUUAAGAGCUUGCUCUGAAAUCUGAUAUGUUUCUGGUACAAGAAGAGUUGCAGGUGUCGAAUUAGCAAAAGUUAUUUGCAUAUUUCUUUUUUUCUGCCCCAUUCUUCUAUUUGUUGACUUCUUUUGGGUACUCAAUCUUAACCAAUCUUUAUCAUUUCUGUAAGUAGAAUGGUAAAGGAUAAAAGUAUAGUCAUUGGGACCGUCUACUGUGUGUUACUUUUCAAUAAAAUUUUGGAUGCAUAUAAUUAAAACUGUUUGAUAUCCUGUUAAUAAUAUUAUGAGAACAGUGACUUUGUUGAACAAGAUUUAUGCUGAGCAUAUUAAUCAAAUGAGUUCAGUUAGUUAUUAGUUUUCAAUAUAUUGCUUUUGUGAUGAUUGAAGGUGAUAAUUUGAUACUAAAUUAUUCUUUUAGUGGCAAUGGAAGAAUGUUGUUAUGAGUUUUAUUUUCAUCUAUGCAUUAUACUUUUAUGAUCAGCAUAUUUUCUUCCUUCUGUGACUUCUAUAACCAACAAUGGUGAUGGUUUCACUCUUGCUCCAGCUCAUUGUCUUUUUGGGCAGCCUUGGGGUUCUAUCUGUUGAAAAUUAACUGACACCGAGUGAAUGAUUUUAUCGGUUUGCUUCUAAGAAAGAUUCAAUACUCCUUCGGUUGUAAUGCUCACUGACUUGAUAUUAGUAUUAGUUCAAGUGUGUGGCAAUUUGCUUCUAUUUAGUUUGGAUGUGGAAAUCUUCCUGGAACGUGAUGGAUCAAGCGGAGAAGCAACAAAGCAGCUACACAUAGGCAUACAUGUCUGGACAACAGAGAACUGAAAAACUUGCAGGAGCUAUGGCGGUGAGAGGAUACAAUGCUAAUUUGCAUAGUUUAGGUUUUAUUAUUAAUUUUUCAAAUUACAUUGACUCAUGAUAUGAUACUUUGUACUUUUGAGUUAUUGGUCGAGACUUGAGAAUCAAUUGCACUUUAUAUUAUGUACAUAUCAAACAGUUUGGAAUGUGGUCAAGUAUGUUUUAUGAGAACUUUUUUUAUGAUUGUCAAUGUUAAUUUAUGAAGUUCGAAGAAACUUCACAUGAAUACUACAU